rnacentral:rRNA from 1 species
UACGAAGGGUGCAAGCGUUACUCGGAAUUACUGGGCGUAAAGCGUGCGUAGGUGGUGAGUUAAGUCUGUCGUGAAAGCCCCGGGCUCAACCUGGGAAUGGCGAUGGAUACUGGCUCGCUAGAGUGCGGUAGAGGAGAGUGGAAUUCCCGGUGUAGCAGUGAAAUGCGUAGAGAUCGGGAGGAACAUCAGUUGCGAAGGCGGCUCUCUGGACCAGCACUGACGCUGAGGCACGAAAGCGUGGGGAGCAAACAGG